GACGAACGCUGGCGGCGUGCUUAACACAUGCAAGUCGAACGGUGAUCCAUCAGCUUGCUGGUGGUGAUCAGUGGCGAACGGGUGAGUAACACGUGAGUAACCUGCCCCUGACUCUGGAAUAACCCCGGGAAACCGGGGCUAAUACCGGAUAUGACAUCAUCCCGCAUGGGUGUGGUGUGGAAAGUUUUUUCGGUUGGGGAUGGGCUCGCGGCCUAUCAGCUUGUUGGUGAGGUAGUGGCUCACCAAGGCGACGACGGGUAGCCGGCCUGAGAGGGCGACCGGCCACACUGGGACUGAGACACGGCCCAGACUCCUACGGGAGGCAGCAGUGGGGAAUAUUGCACAAUGGGCGGAAGCCUGAUGCAGCGACGCCGCGUGAGGGAUGACGGCCUUCGGGUUGUAAACCUCUUUCAGCUCUGAAGAAGCGAAAGUGACGGUAGGAGCAGAAGAAGCACCGGCUAACUACGUGCCAGCCGCCGCGGUAACAC
rnacentral:rRNA from 1 species